rnacentral:rRNA from 1 species
UACAGAGGUCCCAAGCGUUGUUCGGAUUCACUGGGCGUAAAGGGUGCGUAGGUGGUCGGAUAAGUUUGAUGUGAAAUCUCCGGGCUUAACCCGGAAACUGCAUUGAAUACUAUCUGGCUGGAGGGUUGGAGGGGGGACUGGAAUUCUCGGUGUAGCAGUGAAAUGCGUAGAUAUCGAGAGGAACACCAGUGGCGAAGGCGAGUCCCUGGACAACUCCUGACACUGAGGCACGAAAGCGUGGGGAGCGAACAGG